rnacentral:rRNA from 1 species
GACAGAGGGUGCAAACGUUGUUCGGAAUUACUGGGCGUAAAGAGCGUGUAGGCGGCCCGGUAAGUCCGCUGUGAAAGUCGGGGGCUCAACCCUCGAAUGCCGGUGGAUACUGUCGGGCUAGAGUGCGGAAGAGGCGAGUGGAAUUCCUGGUGUAGCGGUGAAAUGCGCAGAUAUCAGGAGGAACAUCGAUUGCGAAGGCAGCUCGCUGGGACGUCACUGACGCUGAGACGCGAAAGCGUGGGGAGCAAACAGG